UCCUGUGUGGCUCAGUUGGUAGAGCAUGGUGUUUGCAACGCCAGGGUUGUGUGCUCGAUUCCCACGGGGG
rnacentral:tRNA from 1 species